CCCUGACAGUCGCAUUCUGUGGCUGACUUAACCCAAGACAGGAGAUUCUCAUG
rnacentral:ncRNA from 12 species